GACGAACGCUGGCGGCGUGCCUAAUACAUGCAAGUCGAACGCAUUUUCUUUCACCGUAGCUUGCUACACCGAAAGAAAAUGAGUGGCGAACGGGUGAGUAACACGUGGGUAACCUGCCCAUCAGCGGGGGAGAACACUUGGAAACAGGUGCUAAUACCGCAUAAUUCCAUUUACUGCAUGGUAGCUGGCUUAACGGCGCUGUUGCGUCCCUUAUGGGUGGACCCGCGGUGCAUUAGCUAGUUGGUGGGGUAACGGCCUACCAAGGCUGCGGGGCAUUGCCGACCUGAGAGGGUGAUCGGCCAACAUGGGACUGAGACAAGGCCCAGACUCCUACGGGAGGCAGCAGUAGGGAAUCUUCGGCAAUGGACGCAAGUCUGACCGAGCAACGCCGCGUGAGUGAAGAAGGUUUUCGGAUCGUAAAACUCUGUUGUUAGAAAAGAACAAGGAUGAGAGUGGAAAGUUCAUCCCUUGACGGUAUCUAACCAGAAAGCCACGGCUAACUACGUG
rnacentral:rRNA from 1 species